rnacentral:snoRNA from 1 species
ACCCAGAGUCAGGAAACCUGAAUUCAAAUCCAGUCUCAGGCAUUGACUACCUGAGUGACUCUGGGCAAGUCACUUAACUUCUAUCUGCCUCAGUUUCCUCAACUGUAAAAUGGGGAUAAUAAUAGUACUUACCUCUUGGGUUGUUGUGAGGAUCAAAU